rnacentral:rRNA from 1 species
GACGAACGCUGGCGGCGUGCUUAACACAUGCAAGUCGAACGGAAAGGCCCUGCUUUUGUGGGGUGCUCGAGUGGCGAACGGGUGAGUAACACGUGAGUAACCUGCCCUUGACUUUGGGAUAACUUCAGGAAACUGGGGCUAAUACCGGAUAGGAGCUCCUGCUGCAUGGUGGGGGUUGGAAAGUUUCGGCGGUUGGGGAUGGACUCGCGGCUUAUCAGCUUGUUGGUGGGGUAGUGGCUUACCAAGGCUUUGACGGGUAGCCGGCCUGAGAGGGUGACCGGCCACAUUGGGACUGAGGUACGGCCCAGACUCCUACGGGAGGCAGCAGUGGGGAAUAUUGCACAAUGGGCGGAAGCCUGAUGCAGCAACGCCGCGUGCGGGAUGACGGCCUUCGGGUUGUAAACCGCUUUCGCCUGUGACGAAGCGUGAGUGACGGUAAUGGGUGAAGAAGCACCGGCUAACUACGUG